AAUGAAUUGCCUGACAAAAGGGCUACCUUGAUAGGGUAGAUCAUAUGAUAAAUAUCAUAUUCAUUA
rnacentral:tRNA from 1 species